GAUGAACGCCGGCGGCGUGCCUAAUACAUGCCAGUCGAGCGAACAGACGAGGAGCUUGCUCCUCUGACGUUAGCGGCGGACGGGUGAGUAACACGUGGAUAACCUACCUAUAAGACUGGGAUAACUUCGGGAAACCGGAGCUAAUACCGGAUAAUAUAUUGAACCGCAUGGUUCAAUAGUGAAAGACGGUUUUGCUGUCACUUAUAGAUGGAUCCGCGCCGCAUUAGCUAGUUGGUAAGGUAACGGCUUACCAAGGCAACGAUGCGUAGCCGGCCUGAGAGCGUGAUCGGCCACACUGGAACUUAGACACGGUCCAGACUCCUACGGUAGGCAGCAGUAGGGAAUCUUCCGCCAUGGGCGAAAGCCUGACGGAGCAACGCCGCGUGAUUGAUGAAGGUCUUCGGAUCGUAAAACUUUGUUAUUAGGGAAGAACAAAUGUGUAAGUAACUAUGCACUUCUUGACGGUACCUAAUCAGAAAGCCACGGCUAACUACGUG
rnacentral:rRNA from 1 species